UGAACGCGCCCGAUCUCGUCUGAUUUC
rnacentral:piRNA from 1 species